rnacentral:rRNA from 1 species
UACGGAGGGUGCAAGCGUUAAUCGGAAUUACUGGGCGUAAAGCGUGCGCAGGCGGUUUGUUAAGUCUGUUGUGAAAUCCCCGAGCUCAACUUGGGAAUUGCAAUGGAUACUGGCAGGCUGGAGUAUGGUAGUGGAAGGUGGAAUUCCCGGUGUAGCAGUGAAAUGCGUAGAGAUCGGGAGGAACACCAGUGGCGAAGGCGGCCUUCUGGACCAAUACUGACGCUCAUGCACGAAAGCGUGGGGAGCAAACAGG